GAGUUUGAUCAUGGCUCAGGAUGAACGCUAGCGGCAGGCUUAAUACAUGCAAGUCGAGGGCAUCAGCUUAUAGCAAUAUAGGGCUGGCGACCGGCAAACGGGUGCGGAACACGUACACAACCUUCCUUUAAGAGGGGAUAGCCCGAUAGAAAUGUGGGUUAAUACCCCGUAAGAUAGUGGGAUGGCAUCAGUACUACGUAUUAUAGUUACGACGCUUGAAGAUGGGUGUGCGUCUGAUUAGGUAGUUGGCGGGGUAAAGGCCCACCAAGCCUUCGAUCAGUAGCUGGAUG
rnacentral:rRNA from 1 species